UGUUACUAUUGAAGAGAGAGAAAACAAAACAUGGGUAAAAAUGAGGAAACUGAUAGUAAACACCACCCGUUUGCAGCAACAAUGAAACAUUUUUUCAUUGAUUCAAUUUGAUAUUAUCAGUGGUUCAAAUAAACUCAUAAACCCCUUUUACAAAUACAACCAUUGACCCAAUUUUACAAUAAUAAUGUGAGUUGUGUUAUAUAUGGUUCAGAACAAGUUCUAACAAUCAUUCCUUUAUUACAAUAUUCACUUGAAAAGAACAUCAUCCUUCUUCAAGAACGAGUUCUGCAGGCUGCAGCAUUCAUUGCAUUUGGAAGAUCUUGUUUGUUAGCAAAAACUAGCAACACAACAUCUCUAAAUUAUCAUCUCCUUCUUCACGAAUAACCUGAACAGCUUCGUGAACGUUAACCUUAUCUACACCUAGACAAAUUGCUCUUUUUUUAUUCGAUUUGAGAGAGAAAGAAAUCCCUUCCCUCAGCCUCUUGCUGCCUCUUCGUGAACGUUAAUCUUGUGUCAGCAACAAGUUUGAAGAUGGUGUGUUAUCUGCUUUCAUUGGGUUGUUUAUUUUGAAUUUGAUAUUUGGGAGGCAGAGAAAUGGCGGUGAUGGUGGAGCGGUGUAAAGGCUUGCGAAGAUGCUGAUAUUAGCGCAGGACAAAGGCAGGAGAGAUAAAACUGAAGAGGAUCCGGAUCCCAAAAAGAGUGAUGGUAUUUUGUCAAAAAAAAAAAAAAAGAGUGAUGGUAUUCUCGAUCAAUCACUAAUUAUAUAUUUGUCAUCCAUGGUUGCAUGUGGCUGCAGAGUGCAGGGACUCAUACAGCGACACAAACAUGGUUGAAACUCCGGUUAGCAAAUCUGCUUUGAAGAGAUCAUCUGGUAGUGUAGACUCUAUUGGGGUUGGUGACGUGGAAACUGGACAAGCAUCUGUUACGAAGCCACCAAAGAUGGUUUGUGUGAAGAUUAAACCAAAGGACAAGUAAUCAUUUGCGGCAAAGGAAAAUGAUUUCAGAUGUCUUUUUGUUUCUUGGUCUGAUGUUUGGGAAUUGAUUUGAUGUCUACUUUUGCACUCUCUUGCUAUUAAUUUUUUUUUUUUUUCCUACUUUCAAUAACAAAUCGUUCACAUUAACCUCUUAUUAUUCUGAAUGCAAUAAAAAACCAGUAUUUAUUGUUGUGUUGUUUUAACAGUCACAAUUGUGUUGCG